GCGGAAAUUCCCAAGGGAUGUUUUAAAACUCUUAACAAAUUAAGAAAUCUCAAUAUUUCUAACAAUAAAAUAAAGAAAAUUGAUCGUCACACAUUUGAUGGACUAUGUAGUUUAGAAAUGUUAUCAUUCAAUAGCAGUGAAACAAAAGUCCAACUUCGUGAUAUUUUUACUUUAAGAAAUUUA